CGCCUCUCCUUCUUCGUGUCAUUGCUGCGAUUAACGUCAAGAGAGUGCUUCGGUUUACCGGAGACGUUCACCUUUUUCUCCUUCUUCUUCGCCAUUGCCGUGCAGGGAGAAAGAGAGAUUCAGGUGAGUUUGUUACCACUGGGUGCGAAACCAGCCAACGAUGUGAGGGUUAGGGUUUUAGUUAUGCUGAGCAGUGAGAACUUUUUUUGUGAUGACGGUUCUCGUUUUCUGCAGGUGGAGGGCUAGCCUCACGGUAUGGUUCGACUUCUUCGACCUGGUUCGUCGCCGGCGAAGGACGAAGCUUCUGGUUUCUUCCUUCAGCGGCGGUCUUUGUCCUCUGUUGUGAUUAGACUGGCGGCGCGUCCUUCUUCCUCUCCCCUCGACCUGGUUCGACGCCGGCGAGAUGCGUAAAGCCGCGACUAUGUUUUGCGGUUUAGGUGGGCUGGCGGCUUGCUUGCGUUUGUCGC
rnacentral:lncRNA from 1 species